AACGAACGCUGGCGGCAUGCCUAACACAUGCAAGUCGAACGAGACCUUCGGGUCUAGUGGCGCACGGGUGCGUAACGCGUGGGAACCUGCCCUUAGGUUCGGAAUAACUCCCCGAAAGGGGUGCUAAUACCGGAUAAUGUCUUCGGCCCAAAGAUUUAUCGCCUUUGGAUGGGCCCGCGUUGGAUUAGCUAGUUGGUAGGGUAAAAGCCUACCAAGGCGACGAUCCAUAGCUGGUCUGAGAGGAUGAUCAGCCACACUGGGACUGAGACACGGCCCAGACUCCGACGGGAGGCAGCAGUGGUGAAUACUGGACAAUGGGCGAAAGCCUGAUCAAGCAAUGCCGCGUGAGUGAUGAAGGCCUUAGGGUUGUAAAGCUCUUUUACCCGGGAUGAUAAUGACAGUACCGGGAGAAUAAGCUCCGGCUAACUCCGUG
rnacentral:rRNA from 1 species